ensembl:lincRNA
UGCAAAUACUAUACUGCUGUAUGACUUCUUCCAGAACCAUGAAUUGGAACAAAAAGAGAAGCAAGAAAAUGGAUGUUUGGAAUUGCUAGGAAAUCCUCAUUAUUUGAGACUGUGUAACAUGCUUGCUAUCUAAAAGGAAGGUUUUGACAGUUUAAUUCAUUUGACUUUUCUUUUAAUCAAGUGCCUCCACUAUACAUCAUCCACACGUUUAGGAGCGUCCAUCUUCCACGUCAGCAGCAGCACACCCUGCAAAUCUUCAGGUUGUGGGACGCAGUCACCUUUGUUUCAAGGACAAGGGGCUAUAGGGGAAAAGUGUUUCUCUGGGGCCUUAACAGUGUUGGUUUUGAAAGCAAAGGUUUAGGGUUAUGUUUUAUGCAGUCUUAACACUGAGCACCAGACCCCUACUGACAGAAGUGGCUGUAUGUUCCUUAAUAAAUGUAUCUUUAUAGGUUUGUGAUGCCCAGUGCAGGAGCCCAUCCUGCCAGUUGGUGGGCAGAAUUGCUGGCUGUACUUGUGCGGUGCUGGUGCCUGGCAACAGUAACUCUGCUCUUGAGAUUUGUCCAAACCCCAUUAAAGUCAAAAUACAGGACUGUGCCUGCCCUGCGAUUUCUGCCCCCGCCAACGACUUGUGCAAGCAAGCAUCCUGCUGCCAAACGGAGAUGGAAGGAUUUGUCACUUUUUCCAAGGUCGCGACUGGAGUUACAGCCUAAUGGAUGUUUCUGGCUCCGCAUGGAAACCCAAGAACCCUGGCUGAUUCCAUCGUGGGGUCUUUUGUUCCCCAGGGGCAACUGGGGAGAAGGACAAGGGAAAAGCGUGUCUUCUUCAUCACGACUUGUCCAGAGAGGGAUGUUAUGGCCUCCGUCCAGGUUCCCGUGGGCAGCACGCCGUGACUCACCACACCUGACUGCACGAGACACUGGGAACUGUAUUUUAACCACCCGCUCCAGAGGAAAGGUCACUGAUCCUGGUGAACUCACAGGGUUUUGAGAGGAUGCACAUGAACUUCUGGCUAGUUGCCACGUGUAGUCAGGGGGCGGGGGGAAGGAAAGCUAAAGGAAAUAUGCCAAAUGUAGUAUUUUUUGAAGUUGUGUGAAGGGCACAUGUGUAUCAUGGCAGACUCUGUACUUUCCUUUGUGUUUAAAUGUUUUAGUUUUUAAAAAGACCAAAAAAGGGGAAACAUGAACCUUUUCUUAGGGCUACUAUGAACCUGCCUGUGGUCUCAAGCUAAAACUGGGCUGGCGAACUAAGGUUCACACGCCAACAACAGUUUUUAUGUUUUAAAAGGAUUAAAUAAAUAAAUAAAUAAAUAAAUAAAUAGAAGAAGAAGAUACGACAGAGACUGUACGUGGCUGAAAAGCCUAAAAUAUUUACUAUCUGGCCCCUCUGAAGGAAAAGUUUGUCAGCCCAUGUCAGAACAAAAGAAAAUAUGAUGUAUUGUCUUAAAAGCAUAAGUUAAAACUCACCAUAUGCCAGGCACUGAGCUCAUACAUGAAUUCUUUAAAAAAUUUUAUCCUUAUGACAGCACAAUCAAGUAGGCCAAUGAGGAAAUUGAAGCACAGAAAGCUUAGGUAACCUACACAAGAUCACACAGCUAUUCUAACCCUAGCAGUAUGAUUCCAGAGCCUACCUUCUUCACUACUAUAUUAUUUUGUCUUCCUAAUUUGCUUUGCCAUUUUUCAAAUUUAGAAGUAUUUUCUGAACCAUAAUAAUGAACUGAUGAAAUUAUAGUUUACGUUCAAAUUUUAUUUCACAUUUACAUAUAUGUACAUGUAUAUCUACAGUUUUAGCAAAUGAGCCUUGUCGAAGGCACUAAUAUUAUCUAUGGAUUUCACUUCAGUGUAGCAAAUGCAGCGUUAUUAAAUACUUGCUGUCAUGAAAGAUAAGGUAAGACUGAAAUGUUUCAGGUUAGUGGAGACUAAGGAGAAAUAACUUCUGAAAGCAAUGUGAGGUUCUGGGACAGAGAAGAUACUGGGAGAAAAACUGUUAACAAUUGAAGAAGGUCUAUACUUGGGUUAAUAAUAUUGUACCACUAUUAAUUUCCUAACCUUGAUAAUUAUACUGAGGUUAUGAAAUACACUAAUAUUAGGAGAAAUGGUAUGAAGAAGAUGAGGGAAUUCUUUGUACUGUUUUUGCAAUUUUUCUUCAAAUCUAAAAUGAUCCAAAAUUAAAGUUACAAAAGAAAUACAAGUGGUUCUGAAAGACUAAUAAUAAACAUAUACAGUGAACAUUUAUUGAGUCUCCACAUACACAAGAAGGGCUGUCAGGUCUGAUGGCACCCUCACCAGCUAAGCCUUGCCUGCAGCAGCUCCAGCGUGAGCAGAUGGACCCCCGAGUGAUCCACUGAGAGUUCCCAUCACUGAGGCAAUUCUCCGGAGAAGAGUCCUCGCAGUCCAUUCGGGGAACACCUGGAGGAUGGGGUACCAUCUGAUGAAGGGGUUCCCAGGGGCAUCACAGUAUGAUAAUGACAUUUGUUGCUAAGACUGCAAAGACAGGGACUGGAAAGUGGUCAUUGGAGCCAUCACACCUGCAGUCAUGCCGAGGCGAGUACAGUCAGAGCAGUGCCUGCCGAGCUGGAGGGAGGUGGAGGGAUGGAAGGCUCAUGGAGUUAGGUUGAAUAAUACAGGUGCGGACAGCAAGUUUAGACCACUCUUCUAGCAAACUUGGACGGAAAGGGGAAGCUAAAAAAAUAAGGUGUCUGCUAGAGGGACAUGUAAAGAAAAAUAGAUUCUGUUAUGAAUACCUGCUACACCACAGCCUCUUCCUAGUGGACCUUUACUGGCAGUGGCCAUGCUUGUCCCAGCUCUGGCCACAGCUAAUUUCAUCUUGAAUGGGCUGGUGUCUGGUCUACAGAAGCAGUCAGUGCCUGGCAGGAGGGUCUUGCCGAUGGCACGGGGGUGACCAGCCAAACAAACCUGGUCUUUCCUUUGGGGGAGCUUGAAUGUGAGGCUGACUUUGCAGAAGGAGAGAUGGGCAGCUGAGCCCGAGCUGGCACCAGAGUUGCUCUCGGGUCAUCAGAGCUGGGUUGGAUCAUCAGAGCUCCAGCUAGUCACCAAGGAGCUGCUGCCUUCCAGUUUUCCUUGGCCUGCCUGAGAGCUGCUGAGAGCAUUUCCUCUCUGUCUGUGAAGUCCCAUAUGACAUCCUUAUUAACUAAAUAUCUAAAAGGUAUCCUCCUUUCCCAACCCUCUCAAAGAGCCUAACUCAAGGCAGAUGGUAUGAGGGGACUGAGAAGGGCUUUGCAUUGCAUUGUGCAAAACCUAAGAUUCCAUGAGUUGUAAGGCACACUACCGUUAUAUGCUGAGAGAAAAAACUCUUGCAAUAGAAUGGUAAAGGAGACUUCAUUGCAAAAAACAUGCUGGUCUCAGAGAUGCUCAAUAUGAAAAAUAUAUGUCUUAGAAUUGAUGAAAUAUAGCACAUUCAGAAGAUGAGUGUUGGAGAUGCUUACAGAUUGAGUUAAAGAAAUGGUUAGGCAGACAGAGAAGAAGAUACAUCAGGGAGACAGGGUGGGGUGCUUCCAACAGAAGCAGGAAGGAACCGGCUCAAGGCUGCAGAGGAAAGUUUCCGUCUUCCUGACAUGUAUGGUGGGCCCUACAGAUGUGGAUGGAGAGAAAUAUGUAGUUGAGGAGAGAGAUAUUUCCGUAGGUUAGGCUUGGAGGCCUCACUUUUCUGAGUCAUUAGGAGGCAAUUUUGUAUUUCCUUUUGGAAUUAUUUCAGGACCAUUUCUUAUGAGUUCUUUUAUAAGCUCAGACUUGUAUUUCUGAGUUUUAACUGCAUUUUACCAGUGAUUCUAUGAGAUGGCUGAGAGUGUAAAGAUGUAGAAUUUAGUGUUUAAUAAAAGACAAACCAGCUCUAACACAAGAGUGUUGCUUCUGUGCACAUGCUGUAUUUCAGCAGAAUUGCGACUAUAAAUUUCACAUACUAUUACCAAAUGAUGUGAUCUCAGAUUAUGACGUUUAAUGAAAGGACUGCAAGCUCAAAGGCACAAUGCUAGAAAAUCUGGCGUCAGUGCAAGUUCUUUAUUACACCUAGAAAGGGCCUGAAAGUUCAGGUGAACCUAUUUCUUGAUUCACAGAUGAGAAAAUGAGGCCAGCAGGUGACAGAAAUUGCCCA